AUACGUAGGUGACAAGCGUUAUCCGGAUUUACUGGGCGUAAAGGGCGUGUAGGCGGUCUUGCAAGUCAGAAGUGAAAUUCCUGAGCUCAACUCGGGCGCUGCUUCUGAAACUGCAGGACUUGAGUGCUGGAGGGGAUAGCGGAAUUCCUAGUGGAGCGGUAAAAUGCGCAGAUAUUAGGAAGAACACCGGUGGCGAAGGCGGCUAUCUGGACAGUAACUGACGCUGAGGCGCGAAAGCGUGGGGAGCAAACAGGAUUAGAUACCCUGGUAGUCCAUGCCGUAAACGAUGAAUGCUAGGUGUAGGGGGUAUCGACUCCCUCUGUGCCGCAGUUAACACAAUAAGUAUUCCGCCUGGGGAGUACGGCCGCAAGGUUGAAACUCAAAUGAAUUGACGGGG
rnacentral:rRNA from 1 species